AACCUCGUGGCCUAGUGGCUAUCGCUCUUGACUUGGAAAUUUUCAAUGCGGGUUCAAUUCCCACUGGGGUCA